UAGUAAGAAGCGAAAAUCGCCUUCAAUUUCGGCUUGAAUUUUGCUACAAGAUAGCCUUACUUU
rnacentral:tRNA from 1 species